AUUGAACGCUGGCGGCAUGCCUUACACAUGCAAGUCGAACGGCAGCACGGACUUCGGUCUGGUGGCGAGUGGCGAACGGGUGAGUAAUGUAUCGGAACGUACCUUUCAGUGGGGGAUAACGUAGCGAAAGUUACGCUAAUACCGCAUAUUCUGUGAGCAGGAAAGCAGGGGAUCGAAAGACCUUGCGCUGAUUGAGCGGCCGAUAUCAGAUUAGCUAGUUGGUGGGGUAAAGGCCUACCAAGGCGACGAUCUGUAGCGGGUCUGAGAGGAUGAUCCGCCACACUGGAACUGAGACACGGUCCAGACUCCUACGGGAGGCAGCAGUGGGGAAUUUUGGACAAUGGGGGCAACCCUGAUCCAGCCAUGCCGCGUGAGUGAAGAAGGCCUUCGGGUUGUAAAGCUCUUUCGGCCGGGAAGAAAUCGCAUAGGCUAAUACCCUGUAUGGAUGACGGUACCGGAAUAAGAAGCACCGGCUAACUACGUG
rnacentral:rRNA from 1 species